rnacentral:rRNA from 1 species
CACCAGACUCCUACGGGAGGCAGCAGUGGGGAAUAUUGGGCAAUGGGCGCAAGCCUGACCCAGCAACGCCGCGUGAAGGAAGAAGGCUUUCGGGUUGUAAACUUCUUUUGUCAGGGACGAAGCAAGUGACGGUACCUGACGAAUAAGCCACGGCUAACUACGUGCCAGCAGCCGCGGUAAUACGUAGGUGGCAAGCGUUAUCCGGAUUUAUUGGGUGUAAAGGGCGUGUAGGCGGGAAUGCAAGUCAGAUGUGAAAACUAGGGGCUCAACCCAUAGCCUGCAUUUGAAACUGUAGUUCUUGAGUGCUGGAGAGGCAAGCGGAAUUCCGGGGGUAGCGG